UACGUAGGGCGCAAGCGUUGUCCGGAAUUAUUGGGCGUAAAGAGCUCGUAGGCGGUCUGUCGCGUCCGUUGUGAAAACUCGAGGCUCAACCUCGGGCUUGCAGUGGAUACGGGCAGACUAGAGUGCGGUAGGGGAGACUGGAAUUCCUGGUGUAGCGGUGAAAUGCGUAGAUAUCCGGAGGAACACCGGUGGCGAAGGCGGCUUCCUGGACCGACACUGACGCUGAGGCGCGAAAGCUAGGGGAGCAAACGGG
rnacentral:rRNA from 1 species